CUCCUACGGGAGGCUGCAGUGGGGAAUUUUGGACAAUGGGGGCAACCCUGAUCCAGCCAUGCCGCGUGAGUGAAGAAGGCCUUCGGGUUGUAAAGCUCUUUCGGCCGGGAAGAAAUCGCAUAGGUUAAUACCCUGUGUGGAUGACGGUACCGGAAUAAGAAGCACCGGCUAACUACGUGCCAGCAGCCGCGGUAAUACGUAGGGUGCGAGCGUUAAUCGGAAUUACUGGGCGUAAAGCGUGCGCAGGCGGUUUAGUAAGGCAGGCGUGAAAUCCCCGGGCUCAACCUGGGAACUGCGCUUGUGACUGCUAAGCUAGAGUACGGCAGAGGGGGGUGGAAUUCCACGUGUAGCAGUGAAAUGCGUAGAGAUGUGGAGGAACACCAAUGGCGAAGGCAGCCCCCUGGGCCGAUACUGACGCUCAUGCACGAAAGCGUGGGUAGCAAACAGGAUUAGAUACCCUGGUAGUCCACGCCCUAAACGAUGUCAACUAGGUGUUGGGUGGGUAAAACCAUUUAGUACCGUAGCUAACGCGUGAAGU
rnacentral:rRNA from 1 species